rnacentral:lncRNA from 1 species
ACAGAUUCCAAUGCCAUAUUUUUGACUGGGACAAGUAGGGGUAGAACUGGUUUUUCAGCCAGGUCUUUACUCCUUAUCAGUUGGAGCAGGCAGGAUGAGGAAGACAGCCCUAGAGUCCUCAUCUUAUCCACUGUCUUCUGACCUCACUGCAAAGCUUGCUACCACUCCACAUGUCAUCUUAUUUCUGCCAGGCCUGGGCCUUAUUUUCUACCCUUCUUUUCCACUCUCUGAGGAAAUCCCAGAAGCCAUUCAGCAGUGCAGCACAUUGGUUUCUACACAAAAAUGGAAGCUGGAAGCCAGUUGUCCUUCCUGGGAUCACAGCUACACCACUUUUCUCAGCAUAUUCUGCAGGAAAACGAAGAAAAGGAAAGAAAAGGACUGUAGUUCAAAAAAUGCCAAACAUGAGAGCAUGUGA